rnacentral:rRNA from 1 species
AUUGAACGCUGGCGGCAGGCCUAACACAUGCAAGUCGAACGGUAACAGGAAGAAGCUUGCUUCUUUGCUGACGAGUGGCGGACGGGUGAGUAAUGUCUGGGAAACUGCCUGAUGGAGGGGGAUAACUACUGGAAACGGUAGCUAAUACCGCAUAACGUCGCAAGACCAAAGAGGGGGACCUUCGGGCCUCUUGCCAUCGGAUGUGCCCAGAUGGGAUUAGCUAGUAGGUGGGGUAACGGCUCACCUAGGCGACGAUCCCUAGCUGGUCUGAGAGGAUGACCAGCCACACUGGAACUGAGACACGGUCCAGACCCCUACGGGAGGCAGCAGUGGGGAAUAUUGCACAAUGGGCGCAAGCCUGAUGCAGCCAUGCCGCGUGUAUGAAGAAGGCCUUCGGGUUGUAAAGUACUUUCAGCGGGGAGGAAGGGAGUAAAGUUAAUACCUUUGCUCAUUGACGUUACCCGCAGAAGAAGCACCGGCUAACCCCGUG